UGGCGGCAGGCCUAACACAUGCAAGUCGAGCGGUAACAUUUCUAGCUUGCUAGAAGAUGACGAGCGGCGACGGGUGAGUAACGCGUAGAAAUCUACCUAGUAGUGGGGGAUAGCCCAGAGAAAUUUGGAUUAAUACCGCAUACGCCCUACGGGGGAAAGCGGGGGAUCUUCGGACCUCGUGCUAUUAGAUGAGUCUGCGUCGGAUUAGCUUGUUGGUGAGGUAAUGGCUCACCAAGGCGACGAUCCGUAGCUGGUCUGAGAGGAUGACCAGCCACACUGGAACUGAGACACGGUCCAGACUCCUACGGGAGGCAGCAGUGGGGAAUAUUGCACAAUGGGCGCAAGCCUGAUGCAGCCAUGCCGCGUGUGUGAAGAAGGCCUUAGGGUUGUAAAGCACUUUCAGCAGUGAGGAAAGGGGUGUCGUUAAUAGCGCCAUCCUGUGUCGUUAACUGCAGAAGAAGGACCGGCUAACUCCGUG
rnacentral:rRNA from 1 species